GUACCCGUAGCUCAGUUGGAUUAGAGCGUCUCCCUGCGGAGGAGAAGGUCGUGCGUUCGAAUCGCACCGGGUACA
rnacentral:tRNA from 3 species